ACGAACGCUGGCGGCGUGCCUAAUACAUGCAAGUCGAGCGCAGUUUUUCUGGUGCUUGCACUAGAAAAACUUAGCGGCGAACGGGUGAGUAACACGUAAAGAACCUGCCUCAUAGACUGGGACAACUAUUGGAAACGAUAGCUAAUACCGGAUAACAGUAUUUCUCGCAUGAGAGAUAUUUAAAAGUUGGUUAUGCUAACACUAUGAGAUGGCUUUGCGGUGCAUUAGCUAGUUGGUGGGGUAAAGGCCCACCAAGGCGACGAUGCAUAGCCGACCUGAGAGGGUGAUCGGCCACACUGGGACUGAGACACGGCCCAGACUCCUACGGGAGGCAGCAGUAGGGAAUCUUCCGCAAUGGGCGAAAGCCUGACGGAGCAACGCCGCGUGAGUGAAGAAGGAUUUCGGUUCGUAAAGCUCUGUUGUUAGGGAAGAAUGGAUAUGUAGAAACUAUACAUGUAAGAGACGGUACCUAACCAGAAAGCCACGGCUAACUACGUG
rnacentral:rRNA from 1 species